CUUGCUUAGUAAUUUGCUUUGAUUUAGUUUUAUAUACACAUUAUUGUUAUUUCUAUAAUUCUUAAUGAAAGAUAGUUUGUUUAUGGUAGUAAUGAAUAUUACUAAUUGGGGAAACUUUGACUUGGUUAAUUUCAUUAAAUGUUGAUUAAAUAUGUGCCAGCAGUCGCGGUUAUACAUAUGAUAUAAGUAAAUACGUUUAGUUUGUUAGUUAAAUAAUAUUGAUGUAGGGUCUAUUGUGAUGAUUUUUAGGUGAAAUUAAAAAUUUUUAUUAAGGUUUCUUUUAGGUUGAUUGAGGCUAUGAAAUUUAUUCAAUAAACUAGGAUUAGAUACCCUAUUAUUUUAAAUGUAAAUUUGGAGCUUGAGUAGUAAUUGUUAAGGUCUUGAAACUUAAAGAAUUUGGCGGCAUUUUAGUCUAUUUAGAGGAAUCUGUUCCAUAAUUGAUAGUCCACGCUGAACCUUACUUAAUUUAUAAGUAUGUAUACCGCCGUUUAUUGAAUAUUUUUUUAGAAUCAAUGUUCUUGUAAUUUGUUUUUAUUUUAUUUCAGGUCAAGGUGCAGCUGAUAAUUAAGGGGAAAUGGAUUACAAUAUUUUAAGGUAAACGUAUUAAUAGAUUGAAAUAUAAUUAUGAAGGUGGAUUUAAUAGUAAUUUUUUGUAGAUUGUAAAUAUGAUUAGAGCUCUAAGAUGUGUACACAUCGCCCGUCACUCUCGUUGAAAUUAUAAAGUGAGAUAAGUCGUAACAAAGUAGGUGUACCGGAAGGUGUAGCUAGGAUGCU
rnacentral:ncRNA from 1 species